CAUUUCUCAAACUUUAUCUUGCAUAGGAAUCAUUUGGAAGAUGUGUUAAAACAAAAAACCAGACUGCACAGUCCCACCACCAGAUUGAGUCAGACCUGAGAAUCUGCAUUUUUAACAAGGUCCAGAUCAUGCUGCCACUGACAAGGGAUCACACUUUGUGAACCACCGACCUCACCUAGUUAUGGACCAAGAUUAACAUUCAUGAAGCAAACGGAAGAGGAAUCAAGUGCAUCCAAGCAUAUAUCUGAAUUGGAAACUGAAUUAAAAUAAAAGAGAGA